GACUCGCUCGGNCACCNUUCCGAGAAAUNCAAAGUGCUUGGGNCUCCAGGGGGGAGUAUGGUUCGCAAGGCUGAAACUUAAAGAAAUUGACGGAAGGGCACCACCAGGGGUGGAGCCUGCGGCUUAAUUUGACUCAACACGGGGAAACCUACCAGGUCCAGACACAAUGAGGAUUGANNNNNUGAUAGCUCUUUCUUGAUUUUGUGGGUGGUGGUGCAUGGCCGUUCUUAGUUGGUGGAGUGAUUUGUCUGCUUAAUUGCGAUAACGAACGAGACCUUAACCUGCUAAAUAGCCCGCGCCGCUCCGGCGGCGCGCCGGCUUCUUAG
rnacentral:rRNA from 1 species